rnacentral:rRNA from 1 species
UACGAAGGGGGCUAGCGUUGCUCGGAAUGACUGGGCGUAAAGGGCGCGUAGGCGGAGUGCUUUGUCGGGCGUGAAAUUCCAGGGCUCAACCUUGGGGCUGCGUUCGAGACGGGCAUUCUAGAGUGGAGAAGAGGGUCGUGGAAUUCCUGGUGUAGCGGUGAAAUGCGCAGAUAUCAGGAGGAACACCGGUGGCGAAGGCGGGACUCUGGGCCGAUACUGACGCUGAGGAGCGAAAGCGUGGGGAGCAAACAGG